CUGUCUCGGAACCUGGAGCAGGGGGGCAGGAGGGGCUCAGGGAGAAAUGUUUGUAGCCCCUGGCCCUCUCUGCCCUUCCGUCCCUUGUCCCCA
rnacentral:pre_miRNA from 1 species